ACCCCUGUGACAUACCACUUGUUGCCUCGGCGGAUCAGCCCGCUCCCGGUAAAACGGGACGGCCCGCCAGAGGACCCCUAAACUCUGUUUCUAUAUGUAACUUCUGAGUAAAACCAUAAAUAAAUCAAAACUUUCAACAACGGAUCUCUUGGUUCUGGCAUCGAUGAAGAACGCAGCAAAAUGCGAUAAGUAAUGUGAAUUGCAGAAUUCAGUGAAUCAUCGAAUCUUUGAACGCACAUUGCGCCCGCCAGUAUUCUGGCGGGCAUGCCUGUUCGAGCGUCAUUUCAACCCUCAAGCACAGCUUGGUGUUGGGACUCGCGUUAAUUCGCGUUCCUCAAAUUGAUUGGCGGUCACGUCGAGCUUCCAUAGCGUAGUAGUAAAACCCUCGUUACUGGUAAUCGUCGCGGCCACGCCGUUAAACCCCAACUUCUGAAUGUUGACCUCGGAUCAGGUAGGAAUACCCGCUGAACUUAAGCAUAUCAUA
rnacentral:rRNA from 1 species